GGCGGCAGGCCUUAACACAUUGCAAGUUCGAGCGGCCAGCGCGGGGCCAACCCUGGYGCCGAGCGGCGGACGGGUGAGGAAUGCAUCGGAAUCUACCCUGUCGUGGGGGAUAACGUAGGGAAACUUACGCUAAUACCGCAUACGACCGAGAGGUGAAAGUGGGGGACCGCAAGGCCUCACGCGAUUGGAUGAGCCGAUGCCGGAUUAGCUAGUUGGAGGGGUAAAGGCCCACCAAGGCGACGAUCCGUAGCUGGUCUGAGAGGAUGAUCAGCCACAUUGGGACUGAGACACGGCCCAAACUCCUACGGGAGGCAGCAGUGGGGAAUAUUGGACAAUGGGCGCAAGCCUGAUCCAGCCAUGCCGCGUGUGUGAAGAAGGCCUUCGGGUUGUAAAGCACUUUUGUUCGGGAAGAAAUCGUGCGGAUUAAUACUCUGUACGGAUGACGGUACCGAAAGAAUAAGCACCGGCUAACUUCGUGCCAGCAGCCGCGGUAAUACGAAGGGUGCAAGCGUUACUCGGAAUCACUGGGCGUAAAGCGUGCGUAGGCGGUUCGUUAAGUCUGCUGUGAAAGCCCUGGGCUCAACCUGGGAACUGCAGUGGAUACUGGCGGACUAGAGUGUGAUAGAGGAUGGUGGAAUUCCCGGUGUAGCGGUGAAAUGCGUAGAGAUCGGGAGGAACACCAGUGGCGAAGGCGGCCAUCUGGAUCAACACUGACGCUGAGGCACGAAAGCGUGGGGAGCAAACAGGAUUAGAUACCCUGGUAGUCCACGCCCUAAACGAUGCGAACUGGACGUUGGUUGCAACUUGGCAAUCAGUGUCGAAGCUAACGCGUUAAGUUCGCCGCCUGGGGAGUACGGUCGCAAGACUGAAACUCAAAGGAAUUGACGGGGGCCCGCACCAGCGGUGGAGUAUGUGGUUUAAUUCGAUGCAACGCGAAGAACCUUACCUGGCCUUGACAUCCAGUGAACUUUCCAGAGAUGGAUUGGUGCCUUCGGGAACACUGAGACAGGUGCUGCAUGGCUGUCGUCAGCUCGUGUCGUGAGAUGUUGGGUUAAGUCCCGCAACGAGCGCAACCCUUGUCCUUAGUUGCCAGCACGUAAAGGUGGGAACUCUAAGGAGACUGCCGGUGACAAACCGGAGGAAGGUGGGGAUGACGUCAAGUCAUCAUGGCCCUUACGGCCAGGGCUACACACGUACUACAAUGGUCGGUACAGAGGGUUGCAAUACCGCGAGGUGGAGCCAAUCCCAGAAAACCGAUCCCAGUCCGGAUCGGAGUCUGCAACUCGACUCCGUGAAGUCGGAAUCGCUAGUAAUCGCGGAUCAGCUAUGCCGCGGUGAAUACGUUCCCGGGCCUUGUACACACCGCCCGUCACACCAUGGGAGUUGGUUGCUCCAGAAGUAGGUAGUCUAACCGCAAGGGGGACGCUUACCACGGAGUGGUCAAUGACUGGGGUG
rnacentral:rRNA from 1 species